rnacentral:lncRNA from 1 species
AAUAAGUUCAUUUUUUAAUUAUCGUUCGAUAACAGCAUUUCUUACGGUUGCGAAACCGAAAUGAAUAAAAUUUAGCUAGCUUUAUUAUCGGAAUUCGAAAGAUGUGUUUAAAAAUUACGUCGGUAUUGGUGGAUAAUUUUCGGUUGGAAGCGAUUUUGGAGGCGUAAAUCAGUCGGGCGCCUGGCGUAUAGGUUUGCGUGACGCGUUCCGACGCGUCCGUCAAUCCGACAUUCCGCGUCAUUACGAGAUGGCGGGCGAAACCCGUUAAUAGACGGGUGUGCAGAGGGGAGCGCUAACGGGUGACCUGCAGCCUUGCCACUUGCCAACCCGCUGGUGCAGAGGAAGGCUGGGUACUCGCUUCUCAGCCACUGGCAGGCGUCCAGCGUCCCGGUCGCCCCUGGCCCGCCCCCGCUGUUCGAGGGAGCCGCAGGGCUGGGAGGGUACCUCGCUAGUCACCUUUCUGCUGUCUCGCAGCCUAGACGGUUCGGCAGUCAGCUUGUUGCUACCUGGACAUACGGGUGAGUGUGAUUUUCUUUGAUUGUUCUAAUGCGUUCUGUAACGUUUCCGACAGAGAAUAGACGACGACCACUUCUAUAUUCGCACCUGUUGCUCGUUUACGGCAGUCGUCGUCGGUAAGUCGGGUUCAGGACCCGCGCUACUGUACUUUAGCUACCGUGUCUCAUGCAGAGACGGCUUUGCACCGCCAAUUUCAUCCACUUAAGAAAAGAACUCGAUCUCGGCUAUAAGUGGAGUUGUCGUAAAAAGGUUUGUUUGUUCCAAGUGGCGGUGAACAGCUGAGUGGGUUUCUCUCCAGACCGCAGGGUGGCGCUGUGUGCGGUGCCCUUGUGAUUGAGCCGCGUACAUCGCUUACGUCACGAAUAAGAAUUUAAUAUCCAAAUUGUUUUCUUCCUUUUCGACAACCGUUUACUCGCAUCGCUCACUUAAACGAUGCUAGAACGAUUCGCCUCUGGCUUGGCGUAUUUGUCGACUUUAUCAUCAUUCAUUCCUUGUAUAGUUAAACGACGAAAGCGGUUGACAAAUUCAUGCCGCCAUCAAAGGCUGGAUUAGAAAACAAAAAUUAACUUUUUAUUUCUCUUUCUAUUCUUUGCAAAAACCAUCGCCUAUUCUUAGCACUAAAUUCGUACAUUUAUGACUUUAUAAAAAUCAUAAAUUUCGGAAAUUGCAGUCUGGAGUCGUAUAAUUUUCCUCUCGAAACUGUUUCAUCCGUUGAACCUGACUAUAUCUCCGAGAACACGUAAAAUAUGAAUAAAAAAGCAGAUUUAAUGAUUAAUAUAGAUAAUACUGCUUGGCCGAGAAUCUGCACAUUUUUUUUUAUCCACCGUUCUCUCAAAAGACAAACUGAAAGCGAGAAGUAUCAUGUGAGAGAUUUAAACCAACUUAAAAAUAAAGUUAUCUCGUAUCUGGACUCUCAUCUUAUAAUGUUUAGUUUUUAUAUUAUAGAGUAAUAAUAAGAUUUAAAGAUUUAUAUGUCGUAACUUAUCAGAUUUUUUGUCGACGUGCACUCGGCUCAGGCCUAAAAUAUUUAUAAGGCCAGUUUUAUAUUCCAGAUAAAAAUCUUUUAAACAAUAACAUAGAUACAAAAUAAUGCCAAUCUGGUUUCAACAGAUAAUAUAUUAUCUUUGAAGUGAAAAGGUGUGCCUGGUGAAAGCGAGAGUAACUCCAAGUAGCGUUUUAAAUUUUAAAUGUUUUAUAUAGGCCUAUAGAAAUAUUUAAAAAUUUUUUUUUGCUUUUUAACUUUGCCUAGUUUCGUAGCAGAGC